UCAGCUAUGAGGGAGACACAGACGGUAGCAGCAGCAAACCCACCACCCCCACUAAACAGAGACAGAAGAAGAAGGUUGCUGCCUCAUCAUCCAAUGGACUGAAAACCAACGGCUCUGCUGUGAAGGUCUGCAACUCACUCAGUCCCCCCACUUCACAGGUGGCAAACUCUCCAGGCAGUCGAGUGCAAAUCGUCUCAGCCCACAGGACAAGAGUGAGACCCACCCAACCUCUUCCCCAGUGGGGCCAGCUUCCAAACCAGCGGCCGGUCCAGGGAAGGCAGAGGCCCACAAAGACCUAGCAACGAUUUCACUGUAAAGCACCUGAUUCCUGUUGUUCAAACUAUCCCUGUUGCGUCUCUACUGACCUCUUUACUGGUUACCUGUCGUUUCUGUUAUGCUUAGUUACAUACUUUGUCUGCAUUUUCCAUAUCAAACUCACUGACAGUCUGAGUCGUUUCAAAAUACACUCAUUAAAAAGUAGAUGGGAAAACUCAAAGGGAGUGUUCAUCUCUCUUAUUUAUUCCGUUGGGUUUAAUUCAUGAUUUAUUAGUGGUUCACUGGGUUGUGAAGCUGUUAGUGUUUUCUAUGCACUGUAAAAAUAUACUUUUCUAUUUCUUUCAGUAUCCUAACGGGCAAAUUUGGUAUGAAAGAUCUUCAAAGUGCUUUGUUUUUCCCCACAAAUGUCAUUAACAUAAAACUAGUCCAACAUUCAUUAGUAGUCAGUGGCGACCAGGGGCGCAAGCUUGUCUGCUGUUUAUCAUUUUCAUUGAGCUGUUCUUAGGAUGAUUUAAGGAUGAUUGCCAAGCAUUAUGAGAAGAAACUAAUGUACAGAAACUCCAUUAUUUUGUGUUCAAUAAACAUAAUCAGAAAUUAUAUAUUUUUUGUUCUGAUUUUGUGAUAACUUUUCUGUUAUUCUGUUUUGACCUCACACUUUCUAAAGUCUCAGAAGAAUGCAGUUGACCCUCUUGGUGUCUAUACAGACCGCCAGUGGCACACAGGCUGGUUACACACCAUCAGAAUGCAGUUGACCCUCUUGGUGUCUAUACAGACCGCCAGUGGCACACAGGCUGGUUACACGCCAUCAGAAUGCAGUUGACCCUCUUGGUGUCUAUA
rnacentral:lncRNA from 13 species